ACCAGCCUCUCUCAAGGGUGGCUGAGGGGGUGGUAGACUGGAGACAUACACUUCAUUUGUGAUGUAGGUCUCCCGUGUGACUACCCACCAGCACCCAUUCCACCUAUGGGAUGAC
rnacentral:precursor_RNA from 15 species